rnacentral:lncRNA from 1 species
AUUACAAGAGCACCUCCUCCCCCAACCCCAGGAGGCCCCGCUCCCCAGGCCUCGGCCGGCGCGGACCCCUGGUUGCCCCGGGGUCGAGAGCAGCCGGGGAGAGCUGAGUUCAGAGCCCAGAGUUGGACAUCAGGCCACACGCUGAGAGGGUAGUAAAUGAAAGGGAGUCCGGUUUAGUCGCGGGCAGGGCAUCUCCUCUUCUGCUUGUCUAAAAGUCGCUGGGUGCAGGGGAAGCAAUACUAAGCGGGAAUUUCUUUUUAGUGGCAUCUACACAAUUUGCCUUUCCUGGUUUUUGUUUUGUUUUGUUUUGUUUCCUAAGGAGGGGGAGGCUCUGUAGAGGAAGCUUCGGCCCUGGGUGCCCCUGGGUUGGGAGCAGUCGGGGAGCGCUGAGCCAGGGCGCACGCCCUGUCGGCGCUGCGGGUGUGGGGCGCAGGAGUCCUUCUGGCCGGCCCCUCCGCCCCCCGGGGAGGCUGGAGCUCUCCAAGGCCGGGGAGCCUCCCGAAGCGCGCUGCCCCCUCUGUUCUCCGCGUGCUUUCACUAGGGCCCCAUGCUGCUUAGUGGCCGAUUUGCAGGGAAUCUGGGCACAAUCUUAAUAACACCAGGGCCAAAAAUAACAACGUUCCUGGGAACCGAGCAGCUGGAGCGCACCCCAUGGACGCUGGGCCAUCUCCCCGGGGACUAGUGCCUGACAGAGCUGACAGAGUUCUAGGCCACAUGUGGGCUAGAAGGAACCGCCAUGUCUACCACAGCACAGUCCUUAAGCAGGAGCCUUUUGAAGCACUUGGACUCAAAACAAUGGCUGUUUGUUGUUGUUGUUGUUGUUGUUUGUUUGUUUUGAGGGAGCCAGAAAGCUAAAAAAUGUAAAAGAAGCAGGUCACAUUAGACAUGAUUUCAGACAGCCUCCCCGAAGGACAGAUGAUCUCACUUGGCAACACAUACUGGGCCAGGCUCACUCAUGAGGGGGCAGCGUGGCAUGCACCCCACUCAGGGGCAAGAAUGAAGCUUAAAUAUUAGCUGACUCAGAACAUAGCAAGUGCUCAGUAAUGGCUUCUGGAACGAACCCGUGGUUGUCACCAGCAGGAGUGACGAAAGCUAGAAGCCGUUUCACCAUCCAAGGAAGAGGAGGAACAAUAUUUUUCUCUUUGGAGUUCCCACACUCAGAAGAGAGAACACCAGCAUAUGAACACAGAGUGUCACAUGAUGUAGGAAACAUCCUGUAGGUAGAGAGUAUAAUUCCAAAGCUUAGGAUCCUGCUAGUUCCUUGUGCAGUGCUUCCGGUGGGCAACAUGGUGCCUCCCCAGUCCCUCAGGCUUGAGGCGGGCCAGCACAGCUUCUCUGGGAGCCAGGUCAUUUCAGAAUUUAACCCCAGAACUAGGUCACCCCAGGCAACACAAGGCUCCUCUCCCUUGGAUACAGGAAGCGGAGGAAAAGGCCAGGCAUGCUCAGGGGCAAACCAACACCCAGGUGAAAGGGAGCUGGGCUGGUUUCGGGGAGCAGCCUGGUUUCAGGGAGCCGGACUCACGAUGUGCUUGAGACCCUCAAAUUCACCCCUGGAAGCAGCUGCCCCCGUGACAAGGAACUAAGGACAGGCAUGUCAUGGACUGUGAAUUGGAGUGACAUUUGUCCCUCCCUUCACCAACAGACUGCCCCAAGAGCUUCCCAAGUUAUCUGCCAUAGAAUACCUUGUUUCCCUCGAGUCUCUGAAAGGGGGCCGCAAAAGCUGUCCCCACGCUGGAAAUGCAGGGCCAGGCUUUUAAAGUUUUGCUCCCGGAUUAUGAGAACACCUAGAAAAUUCAGUGCUCCUCUCCACUCCCCCAAACCCCUUCACAAGCCCCCACCCUUUGUUUAACAAACAUAUAUAUAGUGCUUUCCUGGUACCAGAUACUACUUUAAGCACUUGACAAAAUAUUUAGUCAUACAUAAAACCCUUAUAAUUACACUGUAAUUCACUCUCGUCAGAUCCAGUCAUUGUGAAGAAACGGAGGCACGGGGAGAUUAAGAGAGCUACUUAAGAAGACACGGUGCCAGGUUUCUACCCAAGCCAUUUGGAUCUAGGGUCUGGAGGCCAUAUGGGAUCUCAUUCUGUCACCCAGGCUUGUAGUGCAGUGACCCCAUCACGAUUCACUGCAGCCUUGAACUCCUGGGCUCAAGCAAUCCUCCUGCCUCAGCCUCCUGAGUUGCUAAGGCCACAAAUAUUUAUCCAUUUUACUGCUAAUGCAAUUUGAGCUGUUUUCAACUUUUUCCUAUUAAAACAUUAUUGCUAUGAACAUUCUUAUAAAA